GACGAACGCUGGCGGCGUGCUUAACACAUGCAAGUCGAACGAUGAAGCCUUAGCUUGCUUUGGUGGAUUAGUGGCGAACGGGUGAGUAACACGUGAGCAACGUGCCCAGGACUCUGGAAUAACCGCGGGAAACCGUGGCUAAUACCGGAUAGGUGCCGAGGCCGCAUGGUCUUCGGUUGGAAAGUUUUUGCGGUUCUGGAUCGGCUCACGGCCUAUCAGCUUGUUGGUGGGGUAAUGGCCUACCAAGGCGACGACGGGUAGCCGGCCUGAGAGGGUGACCGGCCACACUGGGACUGAGACACGGCCCAGACUCCUACGGGAGGCAGCAGUGGGGAAUAUUGCACAAUGGGCGCAAGCCUGAUGCAGCAACGCCGCGUGGGGGAUGACGGCCUUCGGGUUGUAGACCUCUUUUAGUAGGGAAGAAGCGCAAGUGACGGUACCUGCAGAAAAAGCACCGGCUAACUACGUG
rnacentral:rRNA from 1 species